rnacentral:rRNA from 1 species
AGCUAAUACCGCAUAACGUCGCAAGACCAAAGAGGGGGACCUUCGGGCCUCUUGCCAUCGGAUGUGCCCAGAUGGGAUUAGCUAGUAGGUGGGGUAACGGCUCACCUAGGCGACGAUCCCUAGCUGGUCUGAGAGGAUGACCAGCCACACUGGAACUGAGACACGGUCCAGACUCCUACGGGAGGCAGCAGUGGGGAAUAUUGCACAAUGGGCGCAAGCCUGAUGCAGCCAUGCCGCGUGUAUGAAGAAGGCCUUCGGGUUGUAAAGUACUUUCAGCGGGGAGGAAGGGAGUAAAGUUAAUACCUUUGCUCAUUGACGUUACCCGCAGAAGAAGCACCGGCUAACUCCGUGCCAGCAGCCGCGGUAAUACGGAGGGUGCAAGCGUUAAUCGGAAUUACUGGGCGUAAAGCGCACGCAGGCGGUUUGUUAAGUCAGAUGUGAAAUCCCCGGGCUCAACCUGGGAACUGCAUCUGAUACUGGCAAGCUUGAGUCUCGUAGAGGGGGGUAGAAUUCCAGGUGUAGCGGUGAAAUGCGUAGAGAUCUGGAGGAAU